rnacentral:rRNA from 1 species
GUGCCAGCAGCUGCGGUAAUACGGAGGGUGCAAGCGUUAAUCGGAAUUACUGGGCGUAAAGCGCACGCAGGCGGUCUGACAAGUCGGAUGUGAAAUCCCCGGGCUCAACCCGGGAACUGCAUUCGAAACUGUCAGGCUGGAGUCUUGUAGAGGGGGUAGAAUUCCAGGUGUAGCGGUGAAAUGCGUAGAGAUCUGGAGGAAUACCGGUGGCGAAGGCGGCCCCCUGGACAAAGACUGACGCUCAGGUGCGAAAGCGUGGGAGCAAACAGGAUUAGAUACCCUGGUAGUCCACGCCGUAAACGAUGUCUAUUUGGAGGUUGUGCCCUUGAGCGUGGCUUCCGGAGCUAACGCGUUAAAUACGACCGCC